rnacentral:rRNA from 1 species
UACGGAGGGUGCGAGCGUUAUCCGGAAUUAUUGGGCGUAAAGCGUGCGCAGGCGGUUCGUUGUGUCGGCGGUGAAAGCCCCGGGCUCAACCUGGGAAUGGCCGUUGAAACUGGCGAACUGGAGUGUGGCAGAGGGGGGUGGAAUUCCGCGUGUAGCAGUGAAAUGCGUAGAGAUGCGGAGGAACACCGAUGGCGAAGGCAGCCCCCUGGGCUAACACUGACGCUCAGGCACGAAAGCGUGGGGAGCAAACAGG